CCUACGGGAGGCUGCAGUGGGGAAUAUUGGACAAUGGGCGAAAGCCUGAUCCAGCCAUGCCGCGUGUGUGAAGAAGGCCUUCGGGUUGUAAAGCACUUUCAGUGGGGAAGAAAGCCUUGGGGCUAAUACCCUCGAGGAAGGACAUCACCCACAGAAGAAGCACCGGCUAACUCCGUGCCAGCAGCCGCGGUAAUACGGAGGGUGCGAGCGUUAAUCGGAAUUACUGGGCGUAAAGCGCGCGUAGGCGGUCUGAUAAGCCGGUUGUGAAAGCCCCGGGCUCAACCUGGGAACGGCAUCCGGAACUGUCAGGCUAGAGUGCAGGAGAGGAAGGUAGAAUUCCCGGUGUAGCGGUGAAAUGCGUAGAGAUCGGGAGGAAUACCAGUGGCGAAGGCGGCCUUCUGGACUGACACUGACGCUGAGGUGCGAAAGCGUGGGUAGCAAACAGGAUUAGCUACCCUGGUAGUC
rnacentral:rRNA from 1 species